rnacentral:rRNA from 1 species
AAUGAACGCUGGCGGCGUGGAUAAGACAUGCAAGUCGAACGGAGUUAGCAAUAAGCUUGCUUAAGGCAAACUCAGUGGCGAACGGGUGAGUAACACGUGAAUAAUCUGCCUUGAAGUGGGGGAUAGCCCUGGGAAACUAGGAUUAAUACCGCAUGUGGUCGAGAGACUAAAGCAGCAAUGCGAUUUAAGAUGAGUUCGCGUCCUAUUAGCUAGUUGGUGAGGUAACUGCUCACCAAGGCCUUGAUAGGUAGCCGGUCUGAGAGGAUGUCCGGCCACACUGGAACCGAGACACGGUCCAGACACCUACGGGUGGCAGCAGUCGAGAAUCAUUCACAAUGGGGGCAACCCUGAUGGUGCGACGCCGCGUGGGGGAAGAAUGUCUUCGGAUUGUAAACCCCUGUCAUGUGGGAGUAAGCUAGUGAUAGUUGAUAGUACCACAAGAGGAAGAGACGGCAAACUCUGUGCCAGCCGCCGCCGUAA